rnacentral:rRNA from 1 species
AGUCGAGGGGCAGCACGGGUAGCAAUACUUGGUGGCGACCGGCGCAAGGGUGCGUAACGCGUGAGCAACAUGCCCGUAUCAGGGGGAUAAUCCAGGGAAACUUGGUCUAAUACCCCAUAGCAAUUGGAGGAGGCAUCUUUUUCAAUUUAAAGCUUUGGUGGAUACGGAUUGGCUCGCGUGACAUUAGCUAGAUGGUAAGGUAACGGCUUACCAUGGCUACGAUGUCUAGGGGUUCUGAGAGGAAGAUCCCCCACACUGGAACUGAGACACGGUCCAGACUCCUACGGGAGGCAGCAGUGAGGAAUAUUGGACAAUGGAUGGAAAUCUGAUCCAGCCAUGCCGCGUGCAGGAAGACGGCCCUAUGGGUUGUAAACUGCUUUUGUAUGGGAGCAAUAAGGUCUAUGCGUAGACUGAUGAGAGUACCAUACGAAUAAGCAUCGGCUAACUCCGUGCCAGCAGCCGCGGUAAUACGGGGGAUGCAAGCGUUAUCCGGAUUUAUUGGGUUUAAAGGGUGUGUAGGCGGGCUAUUAAGUCAGUGGUGAAAUCUCCGGGCUCAACCUGGAAACUGCCAUUGAUACUAUUAGUCUUGAAUUUUGUUGAGGUAGGCGGAAUAAGUCAUGUAGCGGUGAAAUGCUUAGAUAUGACUUAGAACACCAAUUGCGAAGGCAGCUUGCUAAACAAAUAUUGACGCUGAGGCACGAAAGCGUGGGGAUCAAACAGGAUUAGAUACCCUGGUAGUCCACGCCCUAAACGAUGAUUACUCGACAUACGCGAUACACAGUGUGUGUCUGAGCGAAAGCAUUAAGUAAUCCACCUGGGAAGUAC